GGUUCCGGGUCGGGCCGCGCCGCAGCCAGCUCUCGGCUCGCAGCCGCAGCGCCCCGCCCCCGCGCUCCGGACCUGGCAGGCGGCGGCUGCAGGGCAGGUCCAGGGGCCACAUGGCUGAGGGGGACGCAGGGAGCGACCAGAGGCAGGUGAGGCCCCGGCGGGGUGCUGUCUCUCCAGGCUCGGCUCGGGCUCGCCUCGCCAUGCCAGUCCUCCUCAGCCGAGGGGCCCUCCGCCCGGGGCCGCCCCGGGUUCCGCCAGCACUGACCACGCCAUUUGCUCCACCGCGUUCCAUUUUCCCGGCGCUUCCCGUCGGCCGAGCGCUCUUAGGCCGGCAGCUCCUCGGCGGCCGCGGGCUCGGCCUGUCUCGGACGGUGUCCUCGUCAACCAUUAACACGCGACUAAGCAGCUCUGGGCCGAAGGCAAAAACCGGGGUUUCGAGACCCACCCUGCCGCCGCCGAGUCAUCUUGGACAAAUCACUUAAGAAUUCGGGUUUCCCCCUUUGCAAAAUGGCAAUAGCCCAGACCCUGCAGGUCCCGAGAGCCCACCGAAUCUCACUCCUUCUGGUCCUUGGCAUCGAGCUUUCCCUGUGCCUUGUUCACGUGGGCGAUCAUAAGUCUUUUCCUACAGGGCUGUGAGUACAAAAUGAAAUGCUACGAAGUCGAAUGGGUACUUUGCUUCCCAUCUUUUCCCUUUAGGUCCUCCAGUUAUUUUUCUUUUUUAACCCCAAGCCCAAAGAAUAAUUUAUGAACUGUUUUAAGGGUUUGAUUACCAAGCAACCAACCAUCCAUCUAGUCCUUGUGUACCCCCUCCCCAUCUCCCCCCAACACAAAAUUUAAUAGGAAAGAACCAGUGAGACACCCAGCAGGAGUACACAGAUAAUGUGGGGCAGAGCUAUUGGGGGUGGGAGUCAGGAGUGGAGAUUACCUGUUAAAAAAGAGAAGGUGGAACAGAGAAGAUAGGUUUAUCUUUUCACGUGUGAAUGGUCACUACAAAGUAUGGGAGUGCAUAUAUAUUAUAUUUUGACUCAAUAGUGGCCAAAAGCACAGUAAUGCAGUAGCAAGGCUGGCUCCAGUCAUUGGAGUAGCGCCUAGCAACCACCCAGAGAGCAGAACAUGGUGACCCGCUCUUAAGAAACACUUGGCCUGUUGAGGCUCAUCUAGGAAUUUUUGAUCUACUCUGGUAAUGUUGAAUUUGAAUACCUUAUAAAGUAGUAAGAAUGGGAUUUUAAGAUGCACAUUUGUUGACUUUUAAAAAAUCAAUUUCUUUCAGAAUGAGGAAAUUGUAGCAAUGGCAGCCAUUUAUGGCGAGGAGUGGUGUGUCAUUGAUGACUGUGCCAAAAUAUUUUGUAUUAGAAUUAGCGACGAUAUAGAUGACCCCAAAUGGACACUUUGCUUGCAGGUGAUGCUGCCGAAUGAAUACCCAGGUACAGCUCCACCUAUCUACCAGUUGAAUGCUCCUUGGCUUAAAGGGCAAGAACGUGCGGAUUUAUCAAAUAGCCUUGAGGAAAUAUAUAUUCAGAAUAUCGGUGAAAGUAUUCUUUACCUGUGGGUGGAGAAAAUAAGAGAUGUUCUUAUACAAAAAUCUCAGAUGACAGAACCAGGCUCAGAUGUAAAGAAGAAAACUGAAGAGGAAGAUGUUGAAUGUGAAGAUGAUCUCAUUUUAGCAUGUCAGCCGGAAAGUUCGGUUAAAGCACUGGAUUUUGAUAUCAGUGAAACUCGGACAGAAGUAGAAGUAGAAGAAUUACCUCCGAUUGAUCAUGGCAUUCCUAUUACAGACCGAAGAAGUACUUUUCAGGCACACUUGGCUCCAGUGGUUUGUCCCAAACAGGUGAAAAUGGUUCUUUCCAAAUUGUAUGAGAAUAAGAAAAUAGCUAGUGCCACCCACAACAUCUAUGCCUACAGAAUAUAUUGUGAGGAUAAACAGACCUUCUUACAGGAUUGUGAGGAUGAUGGGGAAACAGCAGCUGGUGGGCGUCUUCUUCAUCUCAUGGAGAUUUUGAAUGUGAAGAAUGUCAUGGUGGUAGUAUCACGCUGGUAUGGAGGGAUUCUGCUAGGACCAGAUCGCUUUAAACAUAUCAACAACUGUGCCAGAAACAUACUAGUGGAAAAGAACUACACAAAUUCACCUGAGGAGUCAUCUAAGGCUUUGGGAAAGAACAAAAAAGUAAGAAAAGACAAGAAGAGGAAUGAACAUUAAUACCUGAAACUAUAGGAAAGGUUAAUUUGCCUAUAAUUAUAUAUACAUUCCAUAGUCAUCAAGGAAUAUAUUGUGCAGAGAGAGUAUCCUUGACUGCUUAAGUCAGCCAGUUCAGCAUGGAUACCAACAUUAGCUUUUCUUCUUGGUUAUAUCAUCUGCCAAAAAUAGAGAACUUAUGAUCUAUUCAUGUGUGUUUCAGGCUUAUUUGGGAGAACUAAUUUGAACUUAAUCACCACUUCAUCUAAUUUUAGCAAGGUAACAGUUGCCCAGGGCAGUACCUGAAUUAACUGUCCAUUUCAGUACAUGUCAAGUGCCUUUGUUAGGUGGAGAAGAAAUGUCUCUAGAGGAAUAUAAAUACCUGAUUUCUUGUCAUCGAGAUUCUUGUACUGUUAAAUGAAUAUUGCCUUUUACUGCUCUUUAUGGCUUAUUGGAAUAGGAGCUCAUUUAAGAUUGAUCUUGGAGAGUUUCUUCUUGUGAUUUUAGUUCAUAAGUAUAUCACCUUUCAUUUUAUAGUGUUCAUCAUUGAGUAAUGGAUUAAGUGAAAAUUCAGGAGUAUCCAUCUGCAGUUAUGUGCUGAGGUGAUAAUUCAUCCAACAUAUUUGUUAGCAUAAAUAUUAUGCUUCAGUUUCUGUUGCAAAUUGGUGAUUGUGAAAUUACAGAAAGUGAUUUUCUAGUCUGCUUUUUUUGUUUAAUUCUUGUAAUGUAAGCAAUAAAUAUGGAGUGUCAGUAGUCUCCUUCCACCCCAGAAA
rnacentral:sRNA from 1 species